GCUCAGCCAUUGUGUGGGUCACAUGACUCCGGCGCCUCGGGAGGCGGGUCCUGUCGUCGCCAUGUGGAGAAGGGCAGGAGACUGCUGACGCCAGCGCCGCCAUCUUGAGUGCGGGCCACACGUCGGGGACGAUUGCUGUGAGAUACCUGACCCAGAGUGUCGUCUGCUCAGGCCCUGUGGAGUGUGGCCUUCAUGUGUACUCACUUCCCUGCGCCUCAUCCGGCCUCACCUGCUGGGGCACGUUAGCUCAGGGGAGAUGGAUGUCCAAAGCCAGCCGAGAGAACUGGACCUUCCUUAACAUCUCGGGGCACAUCCACCACAUGCCAAUCUAUGGCAAAGCAAGAGAGAAGACCCAGCUUGCAGCCCCCACUACGUCCUAGUUCAGGUGUCCGUCUCCUUGGUCGAAUCACUUAGCUUUCUGAGCCUGAGUUUCCUUUUGCGUAAGAUGAAACAAGAGCAGCCGCCGGGGGACAUGGGAUUAAACGAAAUACAAGUGUUGGUUUCUCAUCUCGGUGCAAGCAGAUUUAUCUGGCUCCUCGGUCAACAAAAUCAUCUCCUCAAGAAACAUGGGAUCCAGGGUCUGCUGGAGGAGACCCCCUUUCUGUUGUUAUCAUGUCCUUCAGAUGAGUAGAGGGUGCGGAGUGAGGAAAAGGAGAAGAGGAAUCAUGCCUUGAUGCAUUGUGCCUCCAGACAACCUCCACCACACCACCGUGAACACUCAGUACCUGAAGGUUAAGUCUGGGGUUUUCACCAGCCUGAAAUGGCAGUGAUCACAAAGAGGAAGAUAGGACACCAACUCAAGGCCGCAUUGACAGGGCUGGACGCUACUCCUCCCCAGCUCGCCCUUCGCCAGAGGAGAAACCCCACGAUAGCUGGAAUCAUCACCGGCCAUGCGGCCUGCAGAUCCACCACUGGUAGCCCCCCAGUGGACCCUCCUACAGAGGUAUUUCAACUCACAUAAGGCAUCACACUGACCCUUUGAGGCCAAGGUUGGAACAGAACAACACCCGAUGUUCCUGUGAACUAUUCCUAACAGAUGGGCCAGUUGGAGAGAUCAAAAUGCUGGACACAAUUUUAGCAACAUGGAACCUUGAGGUACAUGAAGGGUCACGGUUACCUCCACCCCAAGCAGAAUGACCAUAGAUAUGGGCUGUGGUAGGCAGAAUUCUAAAGAUCACGCAAAUAUAUUAGUGUCCUGAGUACUCAUUCAAACACCGUUAUAGGUCCUGCCUUGAAGGCAUUUUACAGGUGUAAUUAAAACAUCAAGCGCCAAGUUGGCGAACCUUUAAGACAGAAACCCAGCGAGUCAUGUGAGCCCUUUACAAGCAGAAUUUUUCUCCAGCUGGGAACCGAAGUCAGGGAUUUAAAGCACAGGAAGUAUUCCGUCAAGCAUCACUGCUGGCCUGAAAAUGGAGGGGGACACAACAAGGGAGGCUGGGGCUUGCAGAAGUGGCCAGCAGCCCCUUGCUGGCAGCUAGCAAGUGAACAGGGACCUCGGUUCGGCUGCUGGAGGACACUGGAUUCUGCUAACGACAGGAAUGAGCUUGAGAGAGCACUCUGUGCUCCAGGGAACUACCAGACAGGUCAAAUAGUGACAGUUCUCUGGGGAGAGACUCUUGGAAACCUCCAAACUUUUUCAGCCCCUUCGAGUGGAGAUCUUUCUUUUUUCUUUAUGCUUCAACAGACCCUCCACUCCAAUCCAGGAAGAGAAAGCCUUAGUGACUGCUUACAGGAAACAGCAGAUUCCCUGAAAAAAGUGCAGAACCUGAGAAUCCAGCAACGAAUCACAGUCCCAGCGACAGGAUGGGGGUCAAACCACACAACAACAACUCUAUGACAGCUUUGGAAAUGGAUUGUGAAAACCAGCAAGAGCUACAUUGGACAGGUCAGAGAUGCUUUGUGGGUAUAUGAGGUAUGUGCAUGGUUUGAGGGUGGGCUGAGAGCAUGGUCUCUGAGGGAAUAACCAUUGAAAACCACUUCUCCAAGGUGACCUUCUUUUGGGGCUGUUGAAAACUAAGGAUAGCGGUACUCUCUUGAAAAUGAUUCUGACCAAUCACAUCAAAAGCAUGAGGUUAGUCCAACUACUAAAAGCUGACUUCUAAAUUUAGCCUCAGUUAGCUAUUCAGUAAACACCUCUGCAGUACAGAAAUAGAUCAAAAAAAUAUUUACCUAAAGAACACUAGAUUGACGUCCUACUGUUUUUUUGCCUAAUAGAUGCAUGUAACUAGACCUCAAGAUUUGGAUGAUCUACAUGGGUCCUUGUAUCCCUCCAGGCCCUGUUCAGCCACAAAUUGGCUGGGAAAUCCACCUUUGUGCCAAUUCCUCAAAGUAACUUUCUCCUCACGCUUGUAUUACAGAGAGGGCUACCUGUUCCCUUUCUGUUCCUUUUCUGUUCCCCUAGAAAACUUCUGACCCCAAGUCAAUGUGAAAUUCAUACUGAAGAGUGGAGCAAGCCUCAUAAAAACUAUGUGGAGAAGGGGGGAAAUGAUGAACAUUGGAGAAAAUAGAUCUUAGCCUCAGGUUUUAAAGUGCCUUCAGACACACACGGAGAGAAGCCAGUGCUGUGUCUCUGAAGGGAUGCAAGUGUUGAGAGGCUUUGACAGGCCAAAGGACAGUUUAACUGAAUGGAACUUUCAAGAAGUCAAAGUGCCACUGCAAUCUGGGGGGAGGAGUCUUGUGGGGGAGGGGCUUUAGACUUUGCUUUCACAUUCCAAUGAACACCUGACUCUUUUUCCAUAGUCACUCCUCUUUUUUUAUUUAUCUCCUACUUGAUUAUAAGCCACUUAAUUUAUCUCAGUGCCCCAGCCAAGCCUGGCACAUAGUAGGCAAUGAAUAGUAGGGGAAGGAGGGAAGGUAAGAAGGAAGGAAGGAAGGAAGGAAGGAAGGAAGGAAGGAAGGAAUGGAAGGACAGAGGGAAGGAGAAUAAGACAAUUGGAAAACCUACAUACAGACACAAAUGAAACAAUUUUAAAUGAGCAGAAGACCUGUCUCAAGUAGAUAACUGAAAGACCCGAAAAUUUAGUGGAAUUUCUGAAAAAUUCAGUGGGCUCAGUUCAAUGGAGAAGAGGUUCAGAAUGUCUCUAGUGGCCAAGACAAAAAGGGAAAUCCAGAGAACAGUGUGCCCUAUUCUUUAUUCCCCUGAGUGCCAGGGCCAGAAGUUAGAGCAAAGCCUGGCAAACAGGUGUUCCCUAAAAAUAUCCUGAAUGAAUGUGAAGCUCAUCUCUAAGGCCCUUUCUAGCUCUGACAUAAUGAGACUCUGCUUUUUAAGAUCUGUUGUGGCUGGCAAAUCCCUAUGACGACCCCAUUCUUGGGCCUGGCAAACAAACAGGUGUAAAAUUGCAAGUUGAGGAUAGAAGUAGAAGGGAAAGUUGGACCUUGGGGAGCAGCCUCACUGUUCCAGCAUGGCAGCCGGGGCGGUG